rnacentral:rRNA from 1 species
GGCUUGUUGAUAAUAAUAAUAAGUUUGGCCUGCCCAAUGAGUUUUUUAAUGGCCGCAGUAAUUUGACUGUGCAAAGGUAGCAUAAUCAUUAGUUUUUUAAUUGAAAGCUUGUAUGAAGGGUUUAAUGAGAAAAUUUCUGUCUCUUUAAAAAUUUUUAGAAUUUUAUUUUUAAGUGAAAAAGCUUAGAUGUGAGUAGAAGACGAGAAGACCCUGUAGAGUUUUAUAUUUUCAGUAUUUAAAGUUUUUAAUGAAAAUUUCAAAAAUGUUGAGAAUAUUUUAUUGGGGUGAUAGGAAAAUUAGUUUAACUUUUCUUUAUAAAUACAUUGAUAUGUGAUUUUAUGAUCUUUAAUUUUAAAUUAUAAGAAUAAAUUACCUCAGGGAUAACAGCGUAAUCUUUUUGAGAGUUCUUAUCGAAAAGAAGGAUUGCGACCUCGAUGUUGGAUUAAAAUAAAAUAUUGGUGGAAAAGCUAAUAGGUUAGGUCUGUUCGACCUUUAAAAUUUUACAUGAUCUGAGUUUAAACCGGUGUGAG